rnacentral:rRNA from 1 species
GAUGAACGCUGGCGGCGUGCCUAAUACAUGCAAGUCGAGCGAACGGACGAGAAGCUUGCUUCUCUGAUGUUAGCGGCGGACGGGUGAGUAACACGUGGAUAACCUACCUAUAAGACUUGGAUAACUUCGGGAAACCGUAGCUAAUACCGGAUAAUAUUUUGAACCGCAUGGUUCAAAAGUGAAAGACGGUCUUGCUGUCACUUAUAGAUGGAUCCGCGCUGCAUUAGCUAGUUGUUAAGGUAACGGCUUACCAAGGCAACGAUGCAUAGCCGACCUGAGAGGGUGAUCGGCCACACUGGAACGGAGACACGGUCCAGACUCAUAAGGGAGGCAGCAGUAGGGAAUCUUCCGCAAUGGGCGAAAGCAUGACGGAGCAACGCCGCGUGAGUGAUGAAGGUCUUCGGAUCGUAAAACUCUGUUAUUAGGGAAGAACAUAUGUGUAAGUAACUGUGCACAUCUUGACGGUACCUAAUCAGAAAGCCACGGCUAACUACGUG